UACGGAGGAUGCAAGCGUUAUCCGGAAUCAUUGGGCGUAAAGGGUCCUGAGGUGGUUUGUUUAGUCCACUGUGAAAGAUCAGGGCUUAACCCUGAAAAUGCGGUGGAAGCUAGCAAGCUAGAGUACGGUAGGGGCGGAGGGAAUUCCCGGUGUAGCGGUGAAAUGCAUAGAUAUCGGGAAGAACACCGACGGCGAAAGCACUCUGCUGGGCCGAUACUGACACUGACAGACGAAAGCUAAGGGAGCAAAUGGG
rnacentral:rRNA from 1 species